AUGGGAACUUGCUCCCUGAUGUUAGCGGCGGACGGGUGAGUAACACGUGGGUAACCUGCCUGUAAGACUGGGAUAACUCCGGGAAACCGGGGCUAAUACCGGAUGGUUGUUUGAACCGCAUGGUUCAAACAUAAAAGGUGGCUUCGGCUACCACUUACAGAUGGACCCGCGGCGCAUUAGCUAGUUGGUGAGGUAACGGCUCACCAAGGCAACGAUGCGUAGCCGACCUGAGAGGGUGAUCGGCCACACUGGGACUGAGACACGGCCCAGACUCCUACGGGAGGCAGCAGUAGGGAAUCUUCCGCAAUGGACGAAAGUCUGACGGAGCAACSCCGCGUGAGUGAUGAAGGUUUUCGGAUCGUAAAGCUCUGUUGUUAGGGAAGAACAAGUACCGUUCGAAUAGGGCGGUACCUUGACGGUACCUAACCAGAAAGCCACGGCUAACUACGUGCCAGCAGCCGCGGUAAUACGUAGGUGGCAAGCGUUGUCCGGAAUUAUUGGGCGUAAAGGGCUCGCAGGCGGUUUCUUAAGUCUGAUGUGAAAGCCCCCGGCUCAACCGGGGAGGGUCAUUGGAAACUGGGGAACUUGAGUGCAGAAGAGGAGAGUGGAAUUCCACGUGUAGCGGUGAAAUGCGUAGAGAUGUGGAGGAACACCAGUGGCGAAGGCGACUCUCUGGUCUGUAACUGACGCUGAGGAGCGAAAGCGUGGGGAGCGAACAGGAUUAGAUACCCUGGUAGUCCACGCCGUAAACGAUGAGUGCUAAGUGUUAGGGGGUUUCCGCCCCUUAGUGCUGCAGCUAACGCAUUAAGCACUCCGCCUGGGGAGUACGGUCGCAAGACUGAAACUCAAAGGAAUUGACGGGGGCCCGCACAAGCGGGGAGCAUGUGGUUUAAUUCGAAGCAACGCGAAAACCUUACCAGGUCUGACAUCCUCUGACAUCCUAGAGAUAGGAAGUCCCUCGGGGCAAAGUGACAGG
rnacentral:rRNA from 1 species